rnacentral:rRNA from 1 species
UCUACCCUCGGGUCUGGGAUAGCAGCGGGAAACUGCUGGUAAUACCAGAUAACGUCUCCGGACCAAAGGUGUGAUUCCACCUGAGGAGGAGCCUACGGCCUAUUAGCUUGUUGGUGGGGUAAUGGCCUACCAAGGCAGAGAUGGGUAUGGGGUGUGAGAGCAUGCCCCCACUCACUGGGACUGAGACACUGCCCAGACACCUACGGGUGGCUGCAGUCGAGAAUCUUCGGCAAUGGGCGAAAGCCUGACCGAGCGACGCCGCGUGCGGGAUGAAGGCCUUCGGGUUGUAAACCGCUGUCGUAGUGGAGGAAAUGUAAGAGAGUUAUCUCUUUUACUUGACUAAUACUAGGAGGAAGGACCGGCUAAUCUCGUGCCAGCAGCCGCGGUAAUACGAGAGGUCCAAACGUUAUUCGGAUUUACUGGGCUUAAAGAGUUCGUAGGCGGCUAAGUAAGUGGGGUGUGAAAUCCCUCGGCUCAACCGAGGAACUGCGCUCCAAACUACUUAGCUAGAGGAAGAUAGAGGUAAGCGGAACAGAUGGUGGAGCGGUGAAAUGCGUUGAUAUCAUCUGGAACACCGGAGGCGAAGGCGGCUUACAGGGUCUUUUCUGACGCUGAGGAACGAAAGCUAGGGGAGCAAAC